rnacentral:rRNA from 1 species
UACGAAGGGGGCUAGCGUUGUUCGGAAUUACUGGGCGUAAAGGGCGCGUAGGCGGUUUGACAAGUCAGGUGUGAAAGCCCAAGGCUCAACCUUGGAAUAGCACUUGAGACUGUCUUACUUGAAUUCGGGAGAGGUGAGUGGAAUUCCCAGUGUAGAGGUGAAAUUCGUAGAUAUUGGGAAGAACACCAGUGGCGAAGGCGGCUCACUGGACCGACAUUGACGCUGAGGCGCGAAAGCGUGGGGAGCAAACAGG